rnacentral:rRNA from 1 species
GGGCCGUGAUAGACCAUCACGUCAAUAGGCCAGGUGUGGAAGCGCAGUAAUGCGUGCAGCUAACUGGUCCUAAUCGCCCAAUAGGCUCAUUCCA